rnacentral:rRNA from 1 species
UUAGCGGCGGACGGGUGAGUAACGCGUGGGUAACCUGCCUUAUACAGGGGGAUAACAGUUAGAAAUGACUGCUAAUACCGCAUAAGCGCACGGGAACGCAUGUUUCUGUGUGAAAAACUGAGGUAGUAUAAGAUGGACCCGCGUCUGAUUAGCUAGUUGGUGGGGUAACGGCCUACCGAGGCGACGAUCAGUAGCCGGCCUGAGAGGGUGACCGGCCACAUUGGGACUGAGACACGGCCCAAACUCCUACGGGAGGCAGCAG